GACGAACGCUGGCGGCGUGCUUAACACAUGUAAGUCGAGCGGUAAGGCCCUUUCGGGGGUACACGAGCGGCGAACGGGUGAGUAACACGUGGGUGACCUGCCCUCAGCUCUGGGAUAAGCCUGGGAAACCGGGUCUAAUACCGGAUAUGACUCCAUGACGCAUGUUGUGGGGUGGAAAGCCUUGUGCGGCUGAGGAUGGGCCCGCGGCCUAUCAGCUUGUUGGUGGGGUGANGGCCUACCAAGGCGACGACGGGUAGCCGGCCUGAGAGGGCGACCGGCCACACUGGGACUGAGACACGGCCCAGACUCCUACGGGAGGCAGCAGUGGGGAAUCUUGCGCAAUGGGCGAAAGCCUGACGCAGCGACGCCGCGUGAGGGAUGACGGCCUGG
rnacentral:rRNA from 1 species